rnacentral:rRNA from 1 species
AUUGAACGCUGGCGGCAUGCCUAACACAUGCAAGUCGAACGAGUGGCGGACGGGUGAGUAAUGUCUGGGAAACUGCCCGAUGGAGGGGGAUAACUACUGGAAACGGUAGCUAAUACCGCAUACCAUCGGAUGUGCCCAGAUGGGAUUAGCUUGUAGGUGAGGUAACGGCUCACCUAGGCGACGAUCCCUAGCUGGUCUGAGAGGAUGAUCAGACCAACUGGGACUGGGACAAGGGCCAGACUCCUACGGGAGGCAGCAGUGGGGAAUAUUGCACAAUGGGCGGAAGCCGGAUGCAGCCAUGCCGCGUGUAUGAAGAAGGCCGUCGGGUUGUAAAGUACUGUCAGCGGGGAGGCGUUACCGGCAGAAGAAGCACCGGCUAACUCCGUGCCAGCAGCCGCGGUAAUUC